rnacentral:rRNA from 1 species
UACGGCGGUCAUAGCGUGGGGGAAACGCCCGGUCCCAUUCCGAACCCGGAAGCUAAGACCCACAGCGCC